rnacentral:rRNA from 14 species
AUGGAGAGUUUGAUCCUGGCUCAGGACGAACGCUGGCGGCGGGCUUAACACAUGCAAGUCGAAGGAGAAGGUAAUUGCUUGCAAUUACUGGAGACUGGCGGACGGGUGAGUAACGCGUAGAUAACCUGCCUUUGCCUGGGGGAUAACACUGCGAAAGUGGUGCUAAUACCGCAUAAUGCAACAUAGCCGCAUGGCUGAGUUGUUAAAGGUUUCGGCCGGGCAAAGAUGGGUCUGCGUGCUAUUAGCUAGUUGGUAAGGUAACGGCUUACCAAGGCAAUGAUAGCUAGGGGGUCUGAGAGGAUGAUCCCCCACACUGGAACUGAGACACGGU